UGAACCUGCGGAGGGAUCAUUACAAGUGACCCCGGUCUAACCACCGGGAUGUUCAUAACCCUUUGUUGUCCGACUCUGUUGCCUCCGGGGCGACCCUGCCUUCGGGCGGGGGCUCCGGGUGGACACUUCAAACUCUUGCGUAACUUUGCAGUCUGAGUAAACUUAAUUAAUAAAUUAAAACUUUUAACAACGGAUCUCUUGGUUCUGGCAUCGAUGAAGAACGCAGCGAAAUGCGAUAAGUAAUGUGAAUUGCAGAAUUCAGUGAAUCAUCGAAUCUUUGAACGCACAUUGCGCCCCCUGGUAUUCCGGGGGGCAUGCCUGUUCGAGCGUCAUUUCACCACUCAAGCCUCGCUUGGUAUUGGGCAACGCGGUCCGCCGCGUGCCUCAAAUCGACCGGCUGGGUCUUCUGUCCCCUAAGCGUUGUGGAAACUAUUCGCUAAAGGGUGUUCGGGAGGCUACGCCGUAAAACAACCCCAUUUCUAAGGUUGACCUCGGAUCAGGUAGGGAUACCCGCUGAACUUAAGCAUAUCAAUAAGCGGAGGAA
rnacentral:rRNA from 1 species